rnacentral:rRNA from 1 species
AUGAAAAUAAUGAAUCACGAAGAUGGCGAUGAUACUUGGGGUUCUCAAAGGUCAGAAACGCCCCCUUGGGAUGCAUCAGAGUACAGUCAACUCAUCUUUGCAGGGCCGUUGCUGCCACUACUAGAACAGUAUGCAGGCAUUGGUUCUUAUGACCAAAACACUCUCAGGGGGGCCCCGUGGCAAGUUCAGUCACAAGGCGCUAACACUGACAAAUGUGCGGGCAGCCAACUUCAACUAGCUAAUAUGGCUAAUCAAGAGCCUUCGUGCAGCACGUGGCAUCAGGCAGCACCCAUGUACCUGCCAUCGACGUCAUACACAGGUUAUUACGGUGGUGGUAACCGGGCAAACGUCUCGUGGCAAGAUUCACAAAUUGCAGGUGGAGCACGUCAUUUUGGUGUCACAGACCACACAAGAUGGUCACAUGCAGCACAACAAGGGCCUACAACUACAGUGAACAGCGGCGCGGGCACAUCUACUGCGGGAAGCUGUGAGCGCACAGAAGACGCGUUCCCCCAGCCAGCAGACAAUCAUGCCGCAAAUAAUGCCGAGUCAGUGUUAGAAAUGGCAAUCAUUCCAGCAAUUCCCACAGCCACCCCUUUGAACGCAAGCACAGGCAACACUCAAAUCGAUGAAACUGCUGCCGAUAUUGAAGUGAAUGAUGAAACUGACGACGAGGCACAAGGGGAUGAAGAUGAUGGGCAACCAGAUAUCAUGGUACCUCAACCACCGUACGUUGGGCAAAGAUUUGAAUCGUUUGCAGAAGCAAAGGAAUUCUACCAGACAUAUGCAAAGUUCCAUGGGUUUGCCGUCAACACCGAAUACCAUAGAAAAAUUAAGAAAACUAAUGAGUACAGCAGAGGUGAGAUGAGGUGCCACAAGGCACGAAGGAACAAGAAAGGGAAAGGUGUUGCGCCUAUCAUUCCGGAACGAAAGAGAGGGAUCAUUCUCAAGACGGGUUGUCCUGUCCGGUUUGCCAUGUUUAAUGCACUGUACUGCCAUUGGGGCAUGUUGAAAACACACAAAACUUGCAGAUUCCGGGAAGAAAUAAAGCGUGCCAGCAUGUUCACGGCUUUCCAGGUGGACGAACAUACGUUCAAGGUGUGUUCUAUUUUGGGCAUGUCGGAUUCAGAACCUGAAGACCCAGACAAAGGAAGGAACUACUUCGUGAAAGCCUCGAUCGAACAAGGCGAAUACUACUGCCAAUGGUGCAAGUUUGAACAGGACGGCAUUGUGUGCUGUCACAUACUGAAAGUAAUGGACAUGAACGCUGUGACACGCAUGCCCCGCCAUUUCAUAAGGCGGCGAUGGACUUGGGACGCUGACGACACGUUUGCGCCGCAGACAACAAACACAGUUCUAGCUGUGCAUGACGAGAGACCUGAGGCAACCAUGGAAGCCGUGAGGCACGUUGUGCUGACAAAGAACUAUGCUGAGCUAAUUGAUGAAGCAUGCAAGAGUGAUGAGACAGCGAGAGUCGCAGAAAAACACAAGAAGGCCCUGAAAAGAGAGCUUGAUGAGAUCAAGAAGAGGAAAGCUGAGGAAGCCUUACACCGGUUCCCCCGCACAUCAAGUGUGCCUUCAUCCACGGGGCCAUCAUCUGAAAACUCUGAGAUAAGAUCUAGAACAGCAAGCACACAAACCCAGGUCAGGAACCCACCCCGUUCCAUCACAAAGGGUCGUCCAAGAGAGAUAAGUUAA